rnacentral:rRNA from 1 species
UACAGAGGGGGCAAGCGUUGUUCGGAAUUACUGGGCGUAAAGGGCUCGUAGGCGGCCAACUAAGUCAUACGUGAAAUCCCUCAGCUUAACUGGGGAACUGCGUGUGAUACUGGAUGGCUUGGAUUUGGGAGAGGGGUGCGGAAUUCCAGGUGUAGCGGUGAAAUGCGUAGAUAUCUGGAGGAACACCGGUGGCGAAGGCGGCAUCCUGGACCAAUAUUGACGCUGAGGAGCGAAAGCCAGGGGAGCAAACGGG